rnacentral:rRNA from 1 species
UACAGAGACUGCAAGCGUUAUUCGGAUUCACUGGGCGUAAAGGGUGCGCAGGCGGUUGGGUGUGUCAGAUGUGAAAUCCCGAGGCUCAACCUCGGAACUGCGUCUGAAACUACUCGACUAGAGUACUGGAGAGGGUAACGGAAUUCACGGUGUAGCAGUGAAAUGCGUAGAUAUCGUGAGGAACACCAGAGGCGAAGGUGGUUACCUGGACAGUUACUGACGCUCAGGCACGAAAGCAUGGGGAGCAAAAGGG